rnacentral:rRNA from 1 species
UACGUAGGGUGCAAGCGUUGUCCGGAAUUAUUGGGCGUAAAGAGCUCGUAGGCGGUUUGUCGCGUCUGCUGUGAAAACUCGAGGCUUAACCCCGGGCCGGCAGUGGGUACGGGCAGACUAGAGUGCGGUAGAGGAGACUGGAAUUCCUGGUGUAGCGGUGAAAUGCGCAGAUAUCAGGAGGAACACCGGUGGCGAAGGCGGGUCUCUGGGCCGUAACUGACGCUGAGGCGCGAAAGCUAGGGGAGCAAACAGG